UACGGUCAUAACACGUUGAAACAUCGGUUCUCGUACGAUCACAGAAGUUAAGCAAAUGCGAGUCUGGCCAGUACCUAGAUGGGUGACCACUUGAGAAUAUCA